GAAAGGCGCUUUUGCGUCACUGAUGGAUGGACCCGCGGUGCAUUAGCUAGUUGGUGAGGUAACGGCUCACCAAGGCCACGAUGCAUAGCCGACCUGAGAGGGUGAUCGGCCACACUGGGACUGAGACACGGCCCAGACUCCUACGGGAGGCAGCAGUAGGGAAUCUUCGGCAAUGGACGAAAGUCUGACCGAGCAACGCCGCGUGAGUGAAGAAGGUUUUCGGAUCGUAAAACUCUGUUGUUAGAGAAGAACAAGGAUGAGAGUAAAACGUUCAUCCCUUGACGGUAUCUAACCAGAAAGCCACGGCUAACUACGUGCCAGCAGCCGCGGUAAUACGUAGGUGGCAAGCGUUGUCCGGAUUUAUUGGGCGUAAAGCGAGCGCAGGCGGUUUCUUAAGUCUGAUGUGAAAGCCCCCGGCUCAACCGGGGAGGGUCAUUGGAAACUGGGAGACUUGAGUGCAGAAGGGGAGAGUGGAAUUCCAUGUGUAGCGGUGAAAUGCGUAGAUAUAUGGAGGAACACCAGUGGCGAAGGCGGCUCUCUGGUCUGUAACUGACGCUGAGGCUCGAAAGCGUGGGGAGCGAACAGGAUUAGAUACCCUGGUAGUCCACGCCGUAAACGAUGAGUGCUAAGUGUUGGAGGGUUUCCGCCCU
rnacentral:rRNA from 1 species